rnacentral:lncRNA from 12 species
CCUUUUUACACAUAAUUGGCCACAGUUAUCAUCAGUCUUCAGUCGCUCUGCGGCCACGCAUCCAUGCAUUCACUUCCAAUUUCUGCUGCACUGAAAUGCUUUUCCCACUGUCAUGAAAUAUUUCCCUGUAUUCAUGUUCUUUGAAAAGCUGGGGGGAAAAAUUGAACCAAGAGGGCCUUGAAAUUCUUACAGUAAGCUGCCCCACUUGUUUAUGCUGCCUCAGUGGUCCCUGCCCAGCGGUGGUUAUGUUCAACAUCAGCGACCAUCAGUGGAGUGUGGCCACUGACCAAUCGGAAUGGAUGCCAAUUAUACGCAGACAGUUCAGGAGCGUGCCAUCUGAACCUCAGCUCUGUGCCUGGAGUCUUUUUCGUCGCUGCCCCAGUGGGCUUCUCUAGCUCUCUGGACAUUAUUCCCUGCUGCAUCCUCCCUUCUUCCUAGAACAUCAGGGCAUCGGGGGUGCCAUCUAGCACAUGCUCCGGAGGACACUUACAGUAUCCUGGGGCACAGGGAAAACCAAACCCUUUUCUGUUUCUCCUUUUCAGCAAAAGAACAGAGAUGCUACCUCAGCCCUGCUGUCUGGUCUUUGGACGUGAGUGUACAUGGAGCUGGUCCUAAGAAAGCCCACACUUGUGUUGCACAGCGCAAUUCACACAGCUCACUCCCAGGACUCCACUUCCUCAUACCAACCUUUCUAAGGAGAGGAAAGGAAUCAAGCCCAUUCUGCAGAGGAGGACCAGUGAAGUUCAAGAAAAGUGUGAUGUCAAGUCAGAAGGAGAGCACAGAUUUCCUGAACUUUGCUCUAGCUGAACAUCUGAGGGGGAAAACAAAACACCCACCCCUCCAGGAGAGUGGCCUUUUGGGAAUUCCACAGCAAGUGUCUGAGGGAAAAAUUGAAGAGGAUUGGACUUAUGCCUGAACCAUCACCCACCUGAUUCAGCUUGUGAGGUGAGGAGGGAAGGGGUCCUUCUCAGCACAUAAUUAAUUGAGAAAUCCUUGCGCUCCCUCCAGGGUUACAGAUGAGGCCUAGCAAUCAUCAAAGCUGCCUGAGCUAAUUUCAAGUUCAAAUUCCACAGGAAGAAGGGAUGGGCUGGGGUCAUCCAGACCUAGACCUACAGCAUUUGUUUAUUAAACUUAAUUUUCAAAAAUAAAAUAGCAGAAACACACCA